CUUCGCUGGCGGCAGGCUUAACACAUGCAAGUCGAGGGAGAAGCAGGUCUUCGGAUUUGUGGAAACCGGCGCACGGGUGAGUAACGCGUGGGCAUCUGUCCUGGAGUGGGGGAUAACCGCUGGAAACGGCGGCUAAUACCGCAUACGCCCUAAGGGGGAAAGAUUUAUCGCUCUGGGAUGAGCCCGCGUCCGAUUAGCUUGUUGGUGGGGUAAUGGCCUACCAAGGCGACGAUCGGUAGCUGGUCUGAGAGGAUGGUCAGCCACACUGGGACUGAGACACGGCCCAGACUCCUACGGGAGGCAGCAGUGGGGAAUAUUGGACAAUGGGCGCAAGCCUGAUCCAGCCAUGCCGCGUGAGUGAAGAAGGCCUUAGGGUUGUAAAGCUCUUUCACCCGUGAAGAUGAUGACGGUAGCGGGAGAAGAAGCCCCGGCUAACUCCGUGCCAGCAGCCGCGGUAAU
rnacentral:rRNA from 1 species